rnacentral:rRNA from 1 species
AGCAGCCGCCGCGGUAAUACGUAGGUGGCAAGCGUUGUCCGGAAUUAUUGGGCGUAAAGCGCGCGCAGGCGGAUAGGUCAGUCUGUCUUAAAAGUUCGGGGCUUAACCCCGUGAUGGGAUGGAAACUGCCAAUCUAGGGUAUCGGAGAGGAAAGUGGAAUUCCUAGCGUAGCGGUGAAAUGCGUAGAUAUUAGGAAGAACACCAGUGGCGAAGGCGACUUUCUGGACGAAAACUGACGCUGAGGCGCGAAAGCCAGGGGAGCGAACGGGAUUAGAUACCCGUGUAGUCCCUGUCUCUUAUACC